UACAGAGGGGGCAAGCGUUGUUCGGAAUUACUGGGCGUAAAGGGCGCGUAGGCGGCCGCCUAAGUCAGACGUGAAAUCCCUCGGCUCAACCGGGGAACUGCGUCUGAUACUGGGUGGCUUGAAUUCGGGAGAGGGAUGCGGAAUUCCAGGUGUAGCGGUGAAAUGCGUAGAUAUCCGGAAGAACACCGGUGGCGAAGGCGGUGGUCUGGACCAAACUGACGCGAGGAGCGAAAGCCAGGGGAGCAAACGG
rnacentral:rRNA from 1 species